rfam:Rattus norvegicus chromosome 5, whole genome shotgun sequence.
GGGGAUUUAGCUCAGUGGUAGAGCGCUUGCCUAGCAAGCACAAGGCCCUGGGUUCGGUCCCCAGCUCCG